CCCUUAGACGUUCUGGGCCGCACGCGCGCUACACUGACCAGUGCAACAAGCAUCCGUCCUUGGCCGACAGGCCCGGGCAAUCUUUGAACGCUGGUCGUGAUGGGGAUAGACUUUUGCAAUUUUUGGUCUUCAACGAGGAAUUCCUAGUAAACGCAAGUCAUCAACUUGCAUUGAUUACGUCCCUGCCCUUUGUACACACCGCCCGUCGCACCUACCGAUUGAAUGGUCCGGUGAAAUCUCGGGACGGCGGCUUGGUCGCUUGCGUCCGACUGCUGAAACUUGAUUAAACCAUAUCAUUUAGAGGAAGGUGAAGUCGUAACA
rnacentral:rRNA from 1 species